AUAUGGUCAAGUUACUAAGAGUGCAUGGGGGAUGUCUUGGUGUCGAGAGGCGACGAAGGACGUGGCAGGCUGCGAUAAGUUCGGGGCAGAAGUCUAGCAUUCGUUAAUCCCGAAAUGUCCGAAUGGGGAAACCCGUUGGGAGCGGGCAACCGUCUCCCUUCAUCCAUGGCUGAAUGCAUAGGCCAUGUGAAGCCAACGCAGGGAACUGAAACAUCUCAGUACCUGCAGGAAAGUAAAUCAACCGAGACUCCGUAAGUAGCGGCGAGCGAAAGCGGAAUAGCCCAAACCAGGCUUCGGCCUGGGGUUGCGGGCGCCAACAAGGAGUUACAAAGGCAGCACCAGUUGAACGGUCUGGAAAGUCCGACCACAGAAGGUGAAAGUCCUGUAAGCAAAUGUGACUGCCCUCCGUUACUGUUGGCGUACCAGAGUAGCACGGAGCUCGUGGAACUCCGUGUGAAGCUGGGGGGCCCACCCUCCAAGGCUAAGUACUACUCGACAACCGAUAGUGAAAAGUAGCGCGAGCGAACGAUGAAAAGCACCCUUACUAAGGGAGUUAAAAGGACCUGAAACCAUGCACUUACACAGCUGUAGGAGCCCUAUGUCCCUUCGGGGAAAUGGGUGACUGCGUGCCUUUCGCAUAAUGAGCCGGCGAGUUACCGUUUGCGGCAAGGUUAAGCACCUCAGGUGCGAAGCCGCAGCGAAAGCGAGUCUGAAUAGGGCGAUUCAGUCGCAGGCGGUAGACGCGAAACCUAGUGAUCUACCCAUGGCCAGGUGGAAGGGGAUGUAAAAAUCCCUGGACGACCGAACCCACUAACGUUGAAAAGUUAGGGGAUGAGCUGUGGGGAGGAGUAAAAGUCUAAUCAAACUGGGAGAUAGCUCGUUCUCUCCGAAAUAGCUUUAGGGCUAGCCUUGAGUCACUACCUUAUGGGGGUAGAGCUACUGAUUGGGGAUAGGGGGCCACCAGCCUACCUACCUCUACCAAACUCCGAAUACCAUAAGGACUAUCUCAGGAGUCAGACUGCGGGGGAUAACCUCCGUGGUCAAAAGGGAAACAACCCAGACCGCCAGCUAAGGUCCCCAAUUUCUGCUAAGUUAUUAAGGAAGUUCAAUUGCUGUGACAAUCAGGAUGUUGGCUUAGAAGCAGCCACCAUUUAAAAAGUGCGUAAUAGCUUACUGAUCGAGCAGUUGGGUGCCGAUAAUGAACGGGAAUAAGCAGAAAACCGAAGCUGCGGGUGUUACAAUUUAUUGUAACGCGGUAGGAGAGCGUAGCAGUCAGCAUCGAAGCGGUACGGAAACGAGCCGUGGAGCGGCUGUUAGUGAUUAUGCCGGCAUGAGUAACGAUAAAACAGGUGAGAAUCCUGUUCGCCGAAAACCUAAGGUUUCCUGGGGAAGGUAAAUCCGCCCAGGGUUAGUCGGCCCCUUAGUUCAGGCCGAAAGGCGUAGACGAUGGGUAGCAGGUUAAUAUUCCUGCACCACGUUGGCGGACGUAAGCAGUGACGCAUUUUUUAAGGUUGUCCCGUGAGCAGUCGUGCGGGUCCCGCAAGGGCGAGGCCGCUUUUGAUGCCGAAGCAACCAGCAAAGAUGCCGAGAAAUAGCUGCUGAAGGUUGAUGUCAGCGUGACCGUACUAAAACUGACACAGGUAGGUGAGGAGAAUAUCCUCAGGCGCUCGAGAGAACCGUCCUUAAGGAACUCGGCAAAUUGACCCCGUAAGUUCGCGAUAAGGGGUCCCUCCAGAUGCCUUUAUUUCGAUAUUGGCAUGCUGAGGGCGCAGUGAAGUGGCUCUGGCGACUGUUUAUCAAAAACACAGUUCUCUGCUAACACGUAAAGUGGAUGUAUAGAGAAUGACGCCUGCUCGGUGCCGGAAGGUUAAGGGGAUGGGUUAGCAUCUUCGGAUGUGAAGCUCCUAACUGAAGCCCCGGUAAACGGCGGCCGUAACUAUGACGGUCCUAAGGUAGCGAAGUUCCUUGUCGGGUAAGUUCCGACGUGCAUGAACGGCGUAACGACUGGAGCACUGUCUCAAGGACGGACUCGGUGAAAUUGUAGUUGUGGUGAAGAUACCACGUACCCGCGGCAAGACGGAAAGACCCCGUGAACCUUUACUGUAGCCUGGUAUUGACGCCUGGCAUAUCGUGCGUAGGAUAGGUGGGAGGCUGUGAAGUGGUGCUUCCGGGCAUCACAGAGCCAUCGUUGAAAUACCACCCUCGCUAUGUUAGUCGCCUAACCGUGACCCGUGAAUCCGGGCAUGGAACAGUGCUAGGUGGGCAGUUUGACUGGGGCGGUCUCCUCCGAAAGUGUAACGGAGGAGUUCAAAGGUACCCUCAGCGUGGUUGGCAAUCACGCAAAGAGCGUAAAGGUAGAAGGGUGCUUAACUGCGAGACUGAUAGGUCAAGCAGAUGCGAAAGCAGGACUUAGUGAUCCGGUGGUUCCGAGUGGAAGGGCCAUCGCUCAUCAGAUAAAAGGUACUCCGGGGAUAACAGGCUGAUCGCCUCCGAGCGUUCAUAGCGGCGAGGCGGUUUGGCACCUCGAUGUCGGCUCAUCACAUCCUGGGGCUGUAGGUGGUCCCAAGGGUUUGGCUGUUCGCCAAUUAAAGUGGUACGCGAGCUGGGUUCAGACCGGCGUGAGCCAGGUCGGUCCCUAUCUGCCGUGGGCGUAGGAAUUUUGAAGGGAUGUUUCCUUAGUACGAGAGGAUUGGGAAGCACUGACCUCUGGUGUACCAGUUGUCGCGCUAGCGGCACCGCUGGGUAGCUAUGUCGGGACAGGAUAACCGCUGAAAGCAUCUAAGCGGGAAGCCCACCCUAAGACGAGAAUUCCAUGGACUUCGGUCCUGAAGAGCCCUGGAAGACGACCAGGUUGAUAGGCCGGGUGUGUAAGCGGCGAAAUCCGCUCAGCUAACCGGUACUAACGCUCGAUGACUUGACCAUAUCAAUCAUGGGUU
rnacentral:rRNA from 1 species